UCAUGGUGCCAGUUGUGUGUCCUCUGUGACCAGUCUGCUGCUUGUUCAUAUCCAGAGGCUGUGCUGGCUUUGGCACUUCCAGGACUUGUGUCACCCAGGAUCUCCUCCCAGGAUCUCCUGUUUCCCAGUAAUUCGAAGUCUGAAAACUGAGAGUGGACACUGCUUAAUUUCGGAACAAGAACAUGCUGUGUCUUCUCUGUGGCUCUUUUUUUUUUCCACAAAAGCACCUCCCUGGUUCCAAGGCAGAAAUGUCAUGAAGAGUGACAGUGCAAGUCAUAUUGUGGUGGCUUCAGCUUUGUGCUUCCUAUGAGAGUCAACAGCAGCUCAUCCAAAAUGGAUCAGAGACCCCUGUGUAUGGAGACAAACUGAACUGCAGAACAGAGCAAAUGCUUUCUUUUUGGCUCGGCACUGGGAGCAGGUUUUUCUGUCUGCUGCUCUGAGCCAGGCUUGCCUGGCGCGCUCGGUGCGUGACCUGCGUACUACAAAACUGCGUCGGCGGCUGAGCGGGUGGGCAGGAACAAAGCACCACACAGGAAAAUGUUGAAAGAGUGCUUGAGACCACUGUAACUGCAGGAGGGGUUUGUUUGUUUUAUCAGCACAUUGGUGGUGAGAGGAAAGCAGAAAGUAGAAAGCAAAGCUCCAGAGCAGCAGUGCGAGCAUUAACUGCCCUUCUCUGUGCUGAAAUAGAUUACUUGCAUUUUCUCCAGGUAAAACGUAGAUUUCAAUGUUUGUUUUCCUUCUCUAGGUGAGAUAUAACCAAUUAUCACCAAAUAAACUGAA